rnacentral:rRNA from 1 species
AAAGGCCCGGGCUCGCGCUGGAUUCUGACCCUCUGUAUACCAAACUUCGUUGCUUCGGCCAGCGCGUGCGCUGGCCAGAGGCCCCCGAACUCUUGAAUGAUGAUGUCCGAGUCACAAGUAAAAUAUCUUAAAAACUUUCAACAACGGAUCUCUUGGUUAGACCAUCGAUGAAGAACGCAGCGAAAUGCGAUAAGUAAUGUGAAUUGCAGAAUUCAGUGAAUCAUCGAAUCUUUGAACGCACAUUGCGCUCCCUGGUAUUCCGGGGAGCAUGCCUGUUCGAGCGUCAUUACAACCCUCACGCUCCGCGUGGUAUUGGGCUGGCCCAGCAGGGCCGGCCUCAAAGUCAGUGGCGGCUCCGUGCGACCCCUAAGCGUAGUAGAACUUCACAUCGCUUCUGGCGGCCGGGCGGCGGCUUGCUAAGCAACCCCCUCACUUUUUAAAGGUUGACCUCGGAUCAGGUAGGGAUACCCGCUGAACUUAAGCAUAUCAAUAAGCCGGAGGAA